CCUUUCUGCCCUGCUGUGAUGAGUGUGGAGCUCCAGUAGGGGUCGCUGUGGGCGUCUCGGUCGCGAUCCGCCACACAUUGAGAGAAAUAGAAGAAGCCGUGCGGCAGUUUUGCUGAUUGAUGAGCUGAGCUCUCCGACUCUACUAAUCAUCUUUCCAUUAAACUCUUUCUGACAGGGUUUUACCCCCACAGUUCCAUCUGAUCCGUUGUGGGGGAUUUGAGGUGGUUAACUGCGUUCUGCUGGAAACAUCAAGACUGGGAUGGACGGGGCUUUCCUCAGGAUGUGUGUCGAUCCUUACAGAGCUGCUUGUUGGAUGUUGUCUAUUCUCUCUGAGUGUACUCCCAGCAAAACUAACCUUCCACUUCAGGUCAUCCAUUUAACAGUAGAUGGUUGACAUUUCGACCUUGCCGGAACUCAUAACCCUGGACUGCAUCCCUGAGGAUUAUUGACAGUGGAAUUGGAGAUGUAAUGAAGAGGAGUGGGGACAGGGAAUCAUCCUGAAAUGUACCUCUUUUCAUGUUAACAUCUCCCAAAUGUGCCCCUAAAUAUUAGUCUAGUGUUCCAAGAUCCCAUACUGUUGCUUAUCAGUCUCACUACAUUGUUGGCCAUCCCAGUUGUCUUCAUAGUCUCUAUGAUCCAUGAAUGUGGUACCAGGUCAUAUGCUUUCUCAUAAUCAAUCCAUCUGAUCACUAAAUUUGUCUUUCUUGUCUUAGUCUUUUAGGAUGGUCUUAUCCAGCAUAAGAUGGUCUUUGAUUCCCCUUGUACUCU